UUGAAACGUCGGUUACCGUACGAUCACUGAAAUUAAGCAACGUCAAGCUUGGUCUGUACCGAGAUGGGUGACAGCUUGGGAAUAUCAGGUGUUGUAAGC